UGGGGAAUAUUGGACAAUGGGGGCAACCCUGAUCCAGCAAUACCGCGUGAGUGAAGAAGGCCUUCGGGUUGUAAAGCUCUUUUACCGGGGAAGAUAAUGACGGUACCCGGGGAAUAAGCUCCGGCUAACUUCGUGCCAGCAGCCGCGGUAAUACGAAGGGAGCUAGCGUUGUUCGGAAUUACUGGGCGUAAAGGGCGCGUAGGCGGCUAUGUAAGUCAGAUGUGAAAGCCCCGGGCUCAACCUGGGAAC
rnacentral:rRNA from 1 species